UGUCAUUUUUGGGAAUAAUGACCCAUUUUUCGCCGGAGCAACGUGGUCACAUUAUUAAGAGAGCGAAUUGGUUCGCUGCACGAUAACAGUUAGCAGAGAGUAGAGAGUAGGAAGAGAAUGGCUCAGGUCUGGAAACCUGGUACCGAGAAGCCUCGCCUACUCGACGACGAAGAAGGCUGGCGUCCUUUUCUUGUCAUCUUCUCUCUCUUCCUCUGGGUAUGGGCAUGCGAGUAUUGAGAAACAGAGGCAGAGAUCGCCAGUGUACAAGUACCGUACAGCUCUUCUUUAUUUAGUGGAGACACAUGCUACUACUAUCAUUGUUGGCGAGACUGGAAGUGGCAAAACCACUCAGAUUCCCCAGUACCUUAGAGAAGCAGGCUGGGCUGAUGGUGGUUGUGUUAUUGCUUGCACUCAACCAAGACAAUUGGCUGUCUAGAAAAAAGUUACUGAAAUAGAGAACAACUCAAAAGAAUUGCACAGAGAAUAGGCAUAGUGUUAAAAUCAUGUGAAAGCGAUAUGCAAAUUGUAAGAAAAGCAGUUACUGAAGGAUUUUUUGCUAAUGCAUGCCAUUUAGAACCAUUCAGUCAAAGUGAGAUGUACAAGACUGUCAGAGGUUCUCGAGAAGUUUAUAUUCAUCCAUCUUCGGUGUUAUUCAGUUAAGUUGGAAAUGUGCUAAAAGUGGAUUAUGUUUAGAAGCAAGGAUGUUAAAAAAAAAAAAAAUCAUGGUUAAUUUGGCAAGUCCUUUAGAAGUUGUCACUGCAAUAACUGUAUUUCUGCCAAUGGUGUUCUAAUCUAGAAUAUUUGCUCAACUUCUUGUAUACUGAUACUCUGGAACAUACUCACAUCAUAGCUCUUGCACCUCCAGAUCUGAUUUGCAGCUUAAUGCUGUCCUCGUUCAAGCUGUGAUGCAAAAGUAUCUGGCUUUAUCAUUGUUAAUCAAAUUAUGCAAAAGCUAAAUGUGUCAAAUGGGUGUUUUGCAGAGUAAGUCCAAAGUGGGUAAUAUACCAUUCUCUCGUUUCAACAGACAAACAAUACAUGCGUAAUAUCAUCUCCAUUGAUCCUUCUUGGCUUUUAGAAGCUGCUCCGCAUUUUUAUCAGCACCAGCGGUUCAAUCCCAUUGCCAACUAACUGGGCAUCUGUUGUAGAUUAUCAAUACCAUUAACAACCAUGACCUUGAAUUUUUUAAAUGUAUCUUGUACAUAUAGAGAGCAUGGAAUGACAAUUGUGAUGGUUCCUGAACUGUUUAUUGCUCUUGUUGAAGAUUAAACAGAAAUUUUGUUCUUGAUUAUGGCCAUCUCUAGGCCAAUUAAUUUCAUCAUUUUUAAGCC